rnacentral:rRNA from 1 species
UACGAAGGGGGCUAGCGUUGCUCGGAAUUACUGGGCGUAAAGCGCACGUAGGCGGCUUUCUAAGUCGGGGGUGAAAUCCUGGAGCUCAACUCCAGAACUGCCUUCGAUACUGGAGAGCUCGAGUCCGGGAGAGGUGAGUGGAACUGCGAGUGUAGAGGUGAAAUUCGUAGAUAUUCGCAAGAACACCAGUGGCGAAAGCGGCUUCCUGGUCCAGCACCGACGUUCAGGCACGAAAGCGUGGGGAGCAAACAGG